CCUCGGCCAAGGACAAGGCUCCGGCUGCCGCUGCCGCCACCGCCUCUGCCCUGGCUAUAAAGCCGCGCCCUUUGGCCGGCCCGCUCCUCCUCUCUUCCUCCGCGCCGCGCCGCGCCUCUCACCUCCUCGCCGCGCUCUGCCCGGUCCGCUCCCCCUCCUCCGCUUCGUCCGGGCGGUGCCUCUCUCCUCCGACCUCCCCGCCGCGGUCCGGCCGGUCUGCUGCUCCUCCACCCUUCGUCCGCGCCGCGCGUCUGCCCUCCUCGAGCCGGGUUUCAUCUUGCUCUCCCUCCUCGGUCGAUUUGCCCGUCUAGAAUCGCGUAUGGAUUUGGUUCUGCUCGUCGCCGCCGCCGCCGGUUUAGAUAGAUAGAUAAUCCCGCCCGAUUUGAUUUUGCUCCUUCUCACCGUUGUCCGUUUAGAAUCGCGCCUGAUUUGAUCUUGCUCGUUCUCGUCGUCAUCCGUUUAGGACCGCGUCCGAUUUGAUUGUGCUCGUUCUCAGUUCGUCAGUUUAGAACCGCUCCCGAGUUGAUUUUGCGCGUCCCCGCCGUCGUCAGUUUAGAGUCGCUUGCUUCUGAUUUGAAUUCUGCUCGUCCUCGCCGUCGCCCGUUUUUGCUCGUCCUAGCCGUCGCCCGUUUUUGCUCGUCCUAGCCGUUGCGCACAUUCAGAAAUUUCUGCGUGUGCUUCUGUUGUCUGAGAGUCGCUUUGGAUCCUGCGUUUGAGCGUGUUCGUGUCAGCGCGAGCGUUACAGGAAAGGUCGGGUCUUGGUUUUGAAGUUGGAUUACGGGCCAGAGAUGGAGAGACGGAGAGCGAUUGUCAGUUUGUUGUGCUAGUUCAUAUCGGUUCCUAGGCUCUUGCGUUGUUCGUCGGUUGUUGUCUGAUCUCAAACGGCUAGCUUGUUCGUGUUAGCCUAGAUGCUCCGGUUCCUAUAUCGAUUCUGAUUGUACCAGCUAGCUUGUUUCACUUUCGUCAGGCCAGAUGCAGGGGUGAUUUUGUUCUGAUGGGUGUUAAUUUAUGUUCUUUCCAAUCCAAUUGGUUGGUUACUUCCUAUCAUGCUCUGUUUAUGUUCCCAUAUAUGCUGAUGUGUGUUCAGGGGUGCCAUUUCGAGCAGGCAGGCAUAGCAGAAAGUUUUAAAAGAGUGCAAAUCAUGUGGCUUGCUGCUUGACUAAUUGAACACCUGCUGCUACUACUGUAGGACAAGGUUUCCUUCUUUUAUUCCUUCUGUUGCUAUUUCCAUUUUCAUAUAGGAGUACACUAGAUGAAUUGCUUCUAGCCCCUUAGACUUCGUUCUGAUUGCAUAGCAUUACUCCAGAAUUUUGUCAUUGCACACAUGCGCAUAUAAUUCUGCUAUGAGCAUAACUUCCAGAAUUUAUUUAUCUGUGAAAGCACCUUCAUCACAUGUUUUCUAUCAAUGCUGCUCAUGUCCCUCUUGUUUGUCCUGUUAAAUUUUAUGCCAUCAACUUGAAGCAAAUUUUGUAUUCACUGGUUCAAAUAUCAAGAAUGCUGACUUCUGUAAUUGUCCCUAUGUAAGCCAUGCACUUGGGAAGCCUGGGCGUGAUUAGGAUUUGGAUUGCUUAUAGAUUUUAUGCUAUGUUUGUUUAUAACCUAGUUGUGACCUAAUAUAGUGCAAAUCUGCUAAUUUUUUAAUUUAAUUCAUGUUCAACGCAAGUAGGCUUUGUUUGUAAGUGGUAUUUCUUUUGCGUGUGCAUGAACAUUCACGCUGUCAAUUUUUCUUAUCAUAAUCAUUUACUGUGGUGUUUGACAAUACAUUUCUACUGUUCUUUGUUCCCUUUUGAGGUUCACUAACUCAAUUAUGCAUGAGAUAUGAUAUCAAUUACUGCUGUCCAGUCACUGAAAUAAUGCUUUUCUUGCUUUGCCUAGACUUUGUGACAAGAAUAAGCAUGUGUCUCUGUGCCUACAAACUUGUGGGUAGUGCCGUAGUGAUGAUGAUCUAACUAGCUUCCUGUUUUCAGGAAUGAAGAUCUGAACUACCCUCACCCCUCUACAGAAACCAGUUUACUCAUUCAGUUUCUGGAACUUCUUUAUAGCUUUCCGAGCUUACUUCCGUCUUGCAUGUAUUAGCUUUCUGUUUGUACCCUUAUCUAUGUCUGUCUCUUUGUGUGUUUCUUGUGUGCAAGUGAUCCAUUGUGUGUGUCUGACUAUGUGUCUGACUGUGUGUGUGAUGUGCGCCUAUCUAUGUGUGUUUCUUUGUCUAUUUCAUGUGUGCAAGUGCUCCAUUAUCUGUGUGACUGUGUUUGACUGCUUGGAUGUGGUGAUUCUGAUUGUGUUGUUGCUUAUAUGAUCUGUCCAAUUGGUUUCUUAUUCAUGCUUUGCUUGUGUUCCAAUGUCGUCUCCCCAUAUAUGGGGAUGUGUUCAGGGAUGCAAACCAUUUAGGCUUCUCUCCUGCUGAUAGAUGAUGAUAGGCUGAGCAGAAUAGUUUGACUCUUGUAACACUCACUUGCUUGGCUUCCACUCCUUUGUGUGGCCGAUUUGGCAUCCAAUGCAUCUCAUGCCUAUCUUAUAUAUCUCACUCACUCAUCACAACAUCCUUUUCCAUGUUUUGUUCCUUUUUUUCUUAUCAUAAUAAUCAUGUAUAAUCAUGUAUGUUUCUUUGUGUGUUUCUUGUGUGCAAGCGAUCCAUUGUGUGUGUCUGACUCUGUGUGUGUGUGAUGUGCCCCUAUCUAUGUAUGUUUCUUUGUCUGUUUCAUGUGUGCAAACGCUCCAUUGUCUGCAUGUGACUGUGUUUGACUGCUUAAAUGGGGUGAUUCUGAUUGUGUUACUGAUUAUAUGGUCUGUCCAAUUGGUUUCUUGUUCAUGCUUUGCUUGUGUUCCAAUGUCGUCUCCCCAUAUGUGGGGAUGUGUUCAAGGAUGCAAACCAUGUAGGCCGUUUCGAGCAGGCAGGGAUCCGGAGACGUGCACUGGUCAGGCUUCUCUCCUGCUGAUAGAUGAUGAUAGGCUGAGCAGAAAAAAUUGAUUCUUGUAACACUCACUUGCUUGGCUUCCACUCCUUUGCGUGGCCGAUUUGGCAUCCAAUGCAUCCCAUGCCCCUUUCCCUGUUUAUCUCACUCACUCAUCACAACACCCUUUUCCCUGUUUUUGUUCCUUAGUUUUCUUAUCAUAAUAAUCAUGUUUACCGUGGUGUUUGACAAUACAUUUUUUGUGAUAUCUGUGUUUCGUUAUGUCUUAUGUGGAUAUCAUAUUCUUUUUUUGCAUUACUGAUGUCCAAUCACUGGAAUAAUGCUUCUGUAAGUAUUUCAGGUAGGAUAUAGACAAAUGUUACAUUUGGUCUUCCUUGCAUUGCUAAGGACACUGAUGGGUUGGGUUUGCUUACAACGCAGGACCAAAAUUUCUAUAAAGAAUCAUUGGAAUAUGCUUUUUACAUUUUGCUAUGCUGAUGAUAGAUAAUUCUAUAAAGAAUCAUUGGAAUAUUUCUUUGAGAAAGAAGAUAGAUGUCUAUGGCACCAGAAAUAUUUUGGCAAUUCCAAGACUCUUCUGAGGGUCAUCUUGAUCUGAACAACUCAUCAUUCUAAUUUUAGCUCGCCUCUACAGUCAUACAAACUGGCAUGCCAAGGACUGCUCAGGGUUCCUAUCACUUUCUGUUUUACCAACUAAGGCAAUCAAAUUUUGAUCUUCAGCUUGCAAAUUUAUCACCUUAUGGGAGGGAAAGGUUUGCAUGUACAUGAGCUCUGAUUGUCUACAUAUAUACUUGAAUUGCUUUGGAUUUGUUGGACUACUUUUCUACAUGAUGUUCUCCAUGAUUCAGUUGAUUUGUUAAUUUGAGUAUUUUCCUGGUGAGUUCCUCAGGUUCAUUUUGUGACACAAAAUACAAUUUUGGUACAUGCAGACUCCGAAAUUUGGUGAUAAAGAAAAGAAUCCAGGGGUGGAUGGAGGUUUUCAUGAUGGCUAAUCUGAUUUGUUACGGUUCUGAUGGUGUGCUUCUGGUGUUUGAACUGAAGCCGUGGAUUGCCCAUCAACCUGGUCUGUGUUUGUAUGCUGAAUUAUUUCCAGAUAGGACAGAGGUGCAAUGUUUACAUCCAUGGCAGAAGGUUCUUCAACACUGCACUCAUCGAAGGUCGUUGGACUCAAGAGGAGGAUGACAAAAUAAUUGACCUUGUAAACAAGUAUGGACUAACAAAAUAGUCUCAUUGCAAGGUCAGCUACCAGAACUUCCUGCUGCUGAUCCUGGGAUGUUUCCGAACAUGUUCAAUUUAUCCGCUCUAGGACAGCCACUGCCAUGACACAGUAGGUUACUCGUUAUUCUCGGCGUGUUUACUUUGGUGGACUUCCUCCGAUUGCUAAUGAACAGGCGGCUGCUCUAUUCUUCAAUCAAGUUGUGGCUGCUAUCGGGGGAAACACAUUUGGUCUAGGUGGCAUAAUCAUCUGAAUCCAAACAUAUGGAAGGAUGCUUGGACUACUGAGGAGGAACAUGCACUGAUUAAUGCCAUCAGGUAUUUGGGAAUAAAUGAGCAGAAAUAGCAAAAGUUAUUCCUGGAAGGUACUGCAUGCCAAACAACUUACAUUAUGGGUCUUGCUUGUAGUAUUAGCUUUCUGUUUGUGCCCUUUCUAUCUCUUCUGUGUGUGUGACUGUGACUGUGUAUGUGUGACUGACUCUGUGUGACUGCUACUGUGUGUGUGACUGGAUCUGUUUGUGACACUGACUCUCUGUGUGACCGACUGUGUGUGUGUGUGUGUGUUUGAAUUAGUAUUGCAUUUGCUUGAUGGUCUGUGCUGUAUGCUUUGCUUGAUGGUGUGUCUUGAAUGCUUUGCUUGAUGGUGUGUCCUGAAUGCUUGUCUCUCUGUGUGACCGACUGUGUGUGUGUGUGUGUUUGAAUUAGUAUUACAUUUGCUUGAUGGUGUGUGUUGUAUGCUUUGCUUGAUGGUGUGUCUUGAAUGCUUUGCUUGAAUGAUUGGUGUUGUAUG